CGGCUGAGGCCACCCCGACCGGGGAGCCAGCUGCAGGCGAGGCCGGGGAUGCAGGCUUGUCAUAGGCCCUGGUCGCCCCUUGCGCGCGCCAUGCUGUGUGUGUGUGAGAACUCUGUAUGAGGGUUGGGGGUGGGCUCCUGUUGGGCAAGGCAAGGAGGAGGCCUCAAGCCUCAGCCUGCGGACACCCUCACCCUACCCCUCCCUCCCUCCCUCCCUCCCUCCCUCCUCUCCUGCCAUUUCCCUCUCUCUAUCCAUCCCUCCCUCCCUCUUUCUCUGUGUCACUCACUCUAUGUCUCAGGUGGCUGCGUUAAGUCAGCCUGUUGUGUCCAGUCCUCCCGUGUCUCUCAGUAGCGGUGUGUGUCUGUGUCUCUCUCUGUGUGUAAGUGUUGUCAGACCCCGUCCUGACAUGCUGGAGGUGCUCGGAGAGGCAGCGUAGCGAUUAGCGAUUAGCAUUUGUGAGGGUAGCAGGGAAUGCCUGCCUGACAGGCCCUGAAAAUGAAUCCAGUAAAGUACAGAUGAAAUCCAGAUUGCCUUUACAUAAUUCUGCCAUGACUUCUACCGAGUCAUAGUCAUAGUUCUAGUCUUAGUCAUAGUUCCAGUUCUAGUCAUAGUUCUUGUUUUUGUUCUAGUUCUAGCGCCCGAGACAUGGAUCCAGGUCUGUGUUGCUUCAGCUGCUUUGGCUAGGAGCCCCGGCACACAAUGCGCUGUCUCGCGGAGAUGAUGGUUAGGGUCUACCAAAUGCCCUGGGGAACAAAAUGUCUGCCUUCUGCUACCUAGAACAGUUUUUCUCUUGCUGUGGAAGCUGUGGAGGCAGUAUGGUGCUCUGUAGAAGGCACAUCUGAGGGAGAAAAAUGCAAAAAAUCAAGUAUCCAAGUCAAGAACAGCACCCCCUAGUGGCGUAGAGAAGAAACGUGCAGAAAUGUAUUGUUGUCUUUCCUGAUCCCUCAGCUCUGAACUCUGAACCCUUUGCUGGGCCAUGCUGUUCUCCGCUCUCUCAGGAGAUUCGCUGAGCAUUCCGUUUCCAGAAUAAAAAAGCUUAUACUGACACCUAAUGAAGUCAAGGUAUAUGAGGUCAUAUCCUGUGAGGUCAUGUACUGUGCGGUCACGUCCUGUGAGGUCACGUCCCUGUCAGGUAGUUGGUGUGUAGUCGACUCUCACAUUGAGGCUUGUGGAAGUCAGCUCAUUCUCCAUUGGUUUGUGUCCCAGUACUGUUAGUCUGAGCUUAGUCUGAGAUUAGUCAAGGAUUAGUCUAUGGGUUUCUAGGAUAACCCGUAACCUGUUGUAAAAAAUGUUGUGCUCUCUUUCUGCUCCCCUUCUCUUGUCUGUCUCUCUCUCUCUCUCUCUCUCUCUCUCUCUCUGUUCUUCUAUCUGGGUUAGUCAUGAGUGGGGGACAGUGUGUAGUUCUUGUGCGAUGGCCGUAGUGUGACACCCUCAGUGCACCAUCCAGAUAUACAGUGUAGUAGCUCAGUCUUUAGCUGUAGGACGGUUCGUGCAGUUGUAACGUAACUUGAGUUAUGAGUGUGUGUGUGAGUGUGUGUGAGAGAAAGAGAAGGUGUGGAUGGCUGGAUGUGUGCUUGCAUGAUUUGCUGCACUUGCCUCUCAUGGUUGAGUGUUGUUCAUUACUGUUUCUGACCUUUGCUGUGUGUCAGUGUUCACAGAAUUAUCAAACAAAUUAAGACAAAUGGUUAGGAAAGCAGAAAAAAAAAAAAAAAAGAUUUGGUAAAAGAAGGAGGAAUGCUUCACACGUUGACGGAAGAGAAGAGAAGUGACUGAACGAGGAGAAGCGUUCUUCGUCAUGCUGAACAUUAUUCUGUGUUGAAUCGAUUAGGAAAGGCCAACGAGUUAAGUGAUCUGAAGAUGAGGAAGAUGAAGAUAAUGAGUGAGAAUAAGAACUCUGUUUUUGUGUGGAAGCGUGGGUCUACACGUGUGCUUGUGUGCACAGAGUGCAAGGAUAGAUUGACUUGUGUGCUGUAUGUGUAGGGCCAGAGGUGUGUGUGUGUGAGAGGUGUGUGUGUGUGUGUGUGAGAGGUGUGUGUGUGUGUGUGAGAGGUGUGUGUGUGUGUGUGUGAGAGGUGUGUCUGACUGUCGAGUUCUAGCUGGUUUGUGUAGCUGUAGGAAUGUUUAAACGGAUUAUCAGAAAACGAAACUCCUUUCCAUAACUCCUGUGAAACAUAAGUCAAGGAAUCACAUAGACACACCCCCCCGACACUGUUUAGAAUUCAUCAUAGGCCUCUUUAUACAGCCAGUCAGUAGGAUGGUGAAGUGUCCUCAGCCCUGGUCACGGGGGAACUGUACUUCAUGUCUGUAUCAGUGAUAGGUUCUUCACACGCUUUGUCCAUUCUUUUUCUGUGACCUUCCUUUGGGUGGGAAUGUGUUGUGCGAAGUAUGAUAUGGGGGGGGCCUAUGGCAAAUGUGCAAUGAAACAUGAAAUAAUCAGAUUAUUGUGUAUUAAAGAAUGUGAAGAGUCUAAACUAAAUGUGAAAAGAUAAAUAGAAGUAUAUUCAUAAAUAGACCAUGUCUAUGUAGGUAGAAUGUGAAUAUAUAUAUAUAUACGAGUAUUGUUAAGAUUCAGUGGGAAGAUCUGAAGACAAUCAAUGCCAAGAUAGUUUUUUUUGUUAUAAUAUCUAUUUAUUUAUUUUUUUAUUUCUUGUCAUGCCUGUAACCUGAAUUCUGAUGGAUUCAGUACAUUUCACAGAAGACACACAUUUAAGUUUCACAGAACUUCAUCAAGUGCAUUUGAUUUAUGACAAUUUGUGUUUGUGUUUUUUUAUUUAUCAGAAGUGAUCAUGCCUAUCUAUUGCUUUGCUGUAGGACUGGUAAGGGUUAUUGGUCAGAGGGACUGGUCAGGUGUAUUGAUCACUCAUUGUAGUGGCUGGUUAAUCUUUAACAGAGACAGGUCUUGUCCUUACCACUGCUGUUUAGUGUGUGUCCUCAGUCACACACACACACACACACACACACACACACACACACACACACACACACACACACACACACACACACACACACACACACACUCCUGUCAAGUCGAAAUAAAGCAGAGGUUUAUUCUGGCUC
ensembl:lncRNA